rnacentral:rRNA from 1 species
CUUGGUGAGUAUAGCUAUGGGGGUACACCUAGUUACAUUCCGAACCUAGAAGUUAAGCCCAUAUACGCUGAUGGUACUUGGCUGGAAGCGGCCUGGGAGAGUAUGGAUUUGCUAAGC